GGGAGGAUGACCUAAGGCUGCUUUCUCCCAUCCUGACUUCCUCUACCCAGCGCUGUAACUACACGUACAAUUUGCUGGUUCUUCUAAAGGAUGACUGACUGGUGCUGUGAUGUGGUCUUCAGGCAGCCAGGGGGGAUCUCCAUAUGAGGAAAAGCUAUAUAUAUGUAUGUGCAUCUUCAUGAUAAACAUCUGGAAGAGUACAUAAGAAAACAUGAUGGCAGUUACAUUUGGAGAGUGAAACAAGAGGUCUGUGAUAGGCAGAAGCAAGCCCCAGGCCCAGUUACCACUUGAUUUGGAAAUCGUUUUGGACUGUCCGACACAAUUAUGACUGAAAUCAAGUUUAAGGCCUGACACCUAGUGGCAGUUUAUAGGCAGCGUUCUUCAAGGCAAACCGAAAGAAACUUCAGGAUGUAGUAACUGUGGAGAAACGCUUACAACCGGACUUGCCGUUAGCCCGAAGACAAAAGAACUGUCGUCUGGACAGAAGUGCUCACCGCUGCACAGAACUCUGCCAAGGCCACUCUGAGGCAUCACAUCUGAGUCCUGGGAGCUAAACACACCCACAGUUGUGGUUCUCCCUUGCAAUUCGGAUCUACUGGCUUGCCCUGGAUCCAUCUUACAACCCUGUUCUAUUGAAUCAAGAUCUGGAUGACACAUUGUCUUGGCAGUUGCAAAGCUCCCAGGCACAGUCAGCGCCAUCUGAAGUUUGGUUCAGCAGAAUUGAGGAAAUCUUGGCCUCCACAAAGAAGAAAAGUCCUAAACUGGAAAAGUGUUAAAACUACAGAACUCCAAAACAUACUUAAUCCUGGUGUGAUGCACGAAACAGGACUAAGAAAAGCAGGGAACAGAAUGGGCGCUGCAGUGCUCCUGGGUGACCACUUCCUCCCCGACUGGAGAAGCUGUUCAAUGGAGAGAACUCGCUGAAGACUGUUGGAUUCAGUGGCAUGUAAGAUACCCGGGAAGUAGAGAAGACUGGUGGAAGUGAAUCAUUUGGAAUCCUAAAGAGCAGCCAGAUGUCCCUUCUUCAUACAGGGUCCGGAUAAUCUCUGCAGCUUUAAGAACUUUUCAAGAGAAAUAAUUUGUGAAGCUCAGUGGUGUUCAAAACAGGAUGCUACAUUUUUGUGGUCGUAUUUUGUAUUUCCUAGAAAGCAGGAAAAACUAAGACUGAAAUCUAUAAUAUCACGAUCUGUAUCAUACAUUCUCUUUUUCUGGAUCUUUUCCCAUUCUGGCAGGAAAGUGAAAUGACACUGAGACAUUCUCAGAAUGUAUGGAAUAGUAAUUUCUUACUAAUUUAAUGGUUGUUCAGUUAGAUCAUGGGGUAGCAAGCUUUUCUUUUGCAUCUUGAAUGUUACUUUACCUGUUGACAUGGCACCAUUCUUAAAGUCACAGACUCACGUAGGAUUUAUUCAUUUAGUAGUGUAAGGUGGGGUCGAUCAUCAGUCCUUUUCAAAUCUCACUCUCUCUUUCUUCCAUCUGCUUAUUUUCUUAUUCUGAGGUUCCCUUUUUCUUAUUAAUACUACCACUCAUCCUGGUCAACUGUAUUCGAAGUCUGUGGAGCAUUUUGACUAUCCCUACCCUAGAUGAUUUCUCCAUCAAGCAGCGUCUCUUUCCACAGUCGCACAUCUGUCUCCCUCCUUUCUGUUUUGUUUCCUCUAGCCUGAACCAGAGUGUUGUUAGUCUUUCGUCUUUCCUGUCACCAGUACAAGCUACACGCUGUCCUUUAAUAAAUCAUUCUGAAGAUCGAGACUAAUUGUAUCACUCUAUAGCUCAAAAACUUUCAAUAGUGUGAGGUGCUUAAAAGGAAGAAGAAAUAGAAGGAGAGGAGGAGGUGGAGGAAAAAGAGGAAAAAGAAGCAGGAAGUUGCCAGUGAAACAAAAUAAAAAGCUAAGAAAUUUUACUAUAUAUAAGAAUUGAACAUAAAGUACUGCUGGUAUGUCAAAUCAAUGGAAACUAUAUUUCAUGCAGUAGUAGCGCAUACUUGUUUUAAAAUAUUUAAAUUGAAUUUUUACCUUCCAGCAUACAACAAAAUAACUUUCAGAUUGAUCAGAAUAUUAAUCUAAAAAAAUUCCUAAAAAACUGGAAAGAUAUCAGAAAUAAAUAUUUAAUGUCAAGAUUAGAAGACUUUUCUAAAUAAAAAAAGCAAAACAAGAAAAAGAUUAAACAUAACAUAAGCAUUAAAAGUCCAGUAAGAACUCAUUCUCAAAAUCCAAAGCAAAUGGCCACCGAGAAAAAAAUAUUUCCAAGAUAUAUGACAUUCAAAGUCUGAAACCUGAGUGUAUUUAAAAUAUCAGUAUUUCUCACAAAUCAGCAGAGAAAAGAGCGCCCCAAUAGAAAGAAUCUGCAAAGAUUAUGGAGAGAGAAUUCACAAAAGAAUAGAAAUGAUCUAUAUCAUGAAAAGAAAGACAUCAAACUUAUUGGACUUUUUUCUUUUGUAUGUUCUUCCAUUGUUUUAAACUUAUGAAAUCCCUCCCUAUUUCAGGAUUGGCCAGUCAUUCUUUUUCUAGUUCAUGUUUUCAGUUUGCAUUUAAUAUUUUAAUUCACUCAAUUUAUUCGGAGGUAUGCUCUGAGAUAUUAGAGCCAAUUCAAUUGUUAUCUUUCCCUCCUUGCUAGAUUGUAAGCUCUUUGAGGGCAGGAGCAACGUGCUGUUUAUUUCUGUGGACCCUGAAGCAUGUGACAAACGUAUGAUGGACAAGAAUCAACAAGGAGGGGUGAAGAGGGGGGAUCAGAGAAGUUCUGAGAGAGGAGGCAUCUUUUGAGGUUAGUCUUAAAAAGUCUAAAAUAUUUUCAAGAUUUUGUCUUUUUUUUCCCCCCUUUCCUUUUGUGUGUCUCUUUUGGGUUAAUCGUGGCUUAAAGGCAACGUAACAUGACAUAAGAGAAAAGGGUUCUGAAGAAAGGCAAGUGAGGGAGGAUUCAAAUAUUGAUGCCACGAAUCACUUAUGUCACUCUGAGCCUCAAUUCCUCACCUUUAAAAUAGAUAUACUGAUCACUACUUGCACGGUUGUUAAGGAGAUAAAAUCCCAGGUUUGUAAGGUGAUCAGCGUACUGGUUCUAUUCUCUUUGUACUCCUCAGUUUUUUUGAUAUUCUGUAAGGGACACUGUGCAUCUCUUAGCCUCUUUCUCUGUAGUGAAGUAAAACUGUGGUAGUGGGGCCGGCUCCGUGGCCGCUCCGCUGCGGCGGCCCAGGGUUCGGAUCCUGGGCGCGGACAUGGCACCGCUCGUCAGGCCACGUUGAGGCGGCAUCCCACAUCCCACAACUAGAAGGACAUGCAACUAAAAUAUACAAGUGUGUACAGGGGGGGUUUGGGGAGAUUAAAAAAAAGCAGAAAAAAACCCCCAAAAAACAAAAAAAACUGUGGUAGUAUUUAUGAAAACAUCUUGUAACAUGGGAUUUUUCUCACAGCAUAAAGUACUAUUAAUUAAGUUUUUUGGUACAUAUUUAAGUGUAAAUUGCUUGUUAUGCUUUUGUUAAUGAUAAAUGGAAUGUAAGUGAUGUUUGAGUGAAACGGUUCAGAGUAGAUAAACAGAGGUAAGACAACAGAACAAGGUUAAGUGUGAAAAACAGAUAACCAAAAACAAUUCUAAUUUGUUCGAGUCACUCAGUAGAAAUGGCUUGGACUGGGGGGUCAGGCAAACAUGAGUUGGAGUCUCGCCCUGCGAUAAACUCUCUGUGGUACCUUUGGCAAGUUACUUGCCCUCAUUGAGACUCGGUUUCUCCACCUAUCAAGCUGGGAUUGAUAACAUUCCCACAGCAGGGGUGUUGUGAAGACCAACGAGAUGAGUAAAUGAAAGCAUAUGGCACACACUUGACGUUUGAUACAUGCUUCUUUUUUUGCUUCUUUUCUUUUCCCUCAAAGACUAAAUAGCAAGCCUGAUUCACCAUAACACCUCUGGGCAUUUAUGUGUUUAAAAGACAUGAAUAUGUUUUCUUAAGUACCCAACCAACUACCAGCGAGUGCCUUAGGCCUCAGGGAGAAUAGAUCUCACUUUUACAAAUGCGUUCAGACUUGAUCCCCUUGUUUAUACAAGGAUUUUUGGAUCCAUGUAUGUCUCAUGACACAGUCUAAACCUCCAUGCAUACUCAGUUAAUCAUCCAGAUUUGUCUUGCAGGCACACAGCCAUCAUUUUUGCUCUUGUGAAGACUGAGAACAUUGUGUACUUUUUCCUUUGUUUCAGGGGGCUAUCGUUCGUUGUUAUCGCUGCCUACUUUUUAAAUUUUGUGAGCUGUAAAAUGUAGUACUAUAUAUUCCUGAGUCUUUUUUUCCCACUGAGAGUAUUUAAGUUGAAUGUUUCUUUAAUAGUCUGGGAGGGAUGAUGCUGGUAAUAAAACAAAGCAUCGAAAUUUAAAAAAUAAGCAGUACAUUUAUAGCAAUUAUGUAGGGAUGUUAUUAGUGAAUAAAUACAGUAUUACAGAAUAAUAUAUCUAGGGUGAAAAAAUGCUAAUCACUAUAACCAAGCAAUUUUUUCUAGUUCUUUUUGUUUUUUAAUAAAAGAAUGCUUAUAUUUUAGAAUGACUAAAGCAUGGCCAACUAUAUUUGCAUCAGUUAUUUCAUGUAAUAAGAUAUAGCAGAGUAUUUACAUUGCUACUCUGUCUUUAAAAUUGUUAGUUAAGGAAAAUGAUUCCAGCCUCUCUUAUAGUCUCUCUAGAUAUGGCCUUGAAUGAAAAGAGGCAGCACCCUUUUCUCCCAUGAUAAAAUAUUCUCCACAUAAAAUUUUCCCUUCCUUUCCUAGGCUAUGGAGAUGUGGGUUUGCUGUUUCCUUUACCUGUAUGUCCUGAGUCAUAACUAUCUUGCUAGAAUAAAUAAUUUAACAAUUAACCAGCUUGUCUUAACUUCAGAUUUGUUUCUGUUAAGGAAAAAGUUUAAUGUUAUAUUUGACUCUAUUAUGACCAUUUAUGCACUUUAUAGAAAUUAUCUCAUUUAAUUACCUAAUUUAAGUUUAAGGUUAGGUGAUAUAAGUUUGAUUGUCCUUAUUUCAGAGCUGAGGAAAAGGAGGCCCAGAGAGUUUUCAUAAAUUAUUCCACAUUUUUAUCUGGUGAGUGAGUUGAAAUUAUAACCUGGGUCUGAAUAGCUGUAAACAUAAGUUCUUUCCAGUUCAGUAGGCUACUGGCCCUUUUCACUGAUUUGUAAGGGUUCUUAAAUGGCCUUUUUAUGAUUAAAAACUUAUGUAAGGGUAAUGAUUCAUUACUCUUUUAUAUCCCCAAAUAAGGAAUACAUGAGGAAGAGCAGGCUUUUGAGGGGAGAGAUGAAGAACCUGGCUUUUG
rnacentral:lncRNA from 1 species